rnacentral:rRNA from 1 species
UACGAAGGGGGCUAGCGUUGCUCGGAAUUACUGGGCGUAAAGCGCACGUAGGCGGCUUUCUAAGUCGGGGGUGAAAUCCUGGAGCUCAACUCCAGAACUGCCUUCGAUACUGGAGAGCUUGAGUCCGGGAGAGGUGAGUGGAACUGCGAGUGUAGAGGUGAAAUUCGUAGAUAUUCGGAGGAACACCAGUGGCGAAGGCGGCUCACUGGUCCGGUACUGACGCUGAGGUGCGAAAGCGUGGGGAGCAAACAGG